GGGAAGUUGGGUGAAUUGGUUAAACCAGCGGACUGUAAAUCCGCCGCCUUUAUGGCAUUGCUGGUUCGAGUCCAGCGCUUCCCA
rnacentral:tRNA from 1 species